rnacentral:rRNA from 1 species
CAAUAGCGUAUAUUAAAGUUGUUGCAGUUAAAAAGCUCGUAGUUGAAUUUCUGGCGGGCGCGCCGGUCUUCCAAGUGUUGUACUGGGCGCAGUCCGCCAUCCUUGUGGAGAGGGCUCGCAUUGAGUUGCGUGUCGGAUCUGCAUCAUUUACUGUGAAAAAAUUAGAGUGUUUAAAGCAGGCUGUCGCUUGAAUACAUUAGCAUGGAAUAAUAAGAUAGGACUUCGGUCUAUUUUGUUGGUUGCGAACCGAGGUAAUGAUUAAUAGGGAUAGUUGGGGGUAUUCAUAUUUAAUUGUCAGAGGUGAAAUUCUUGGAUUUAUGAAAGAUGAACAACUGCGAAAGCGUCUGCCAAGGAUGUUUUCAUUAA